rnacentral:rRNA from 1 species
UACGUAGGCAGCGAGCGUUGUUCGGAGUUACUGGGCGUAAAGGGGGUGUAGGCGGUUUUUUAAGUUUGGUGUGAAAUCUCCCGGCUUAACCGGGAGGGUGCGCCGAAUACUGAGGGACUAGAGUACGGGAGAGGAAAGUGGAAUUCCUGGUGUAGCGGUGAAAUGCGUAGAUAUCAGGAGGAACACCGGUGGUGUAGACGGCUUUCUGGACCGUAACUGACGCUGAGACACGAAAGCGUGGGUAGCAAACAGG